rnacentral:rRNA from 1 species
CCUACGGGAGGCAGCAGUGGGGAAUCUUGCGCAAUGGGCGAAAGCCUGACGCAGCCAUGCCGCGUGGAUGAUGAAGGUCUUAGGAUUGUAAAAUCCUUUCACCGGUGAAGAUAAUGACUGUAGCCGGAGAAGAAGCCCCGGCUAACUUCGUGCCAGCAGCCGCGGUAAUACGAAGGGGGCUAGCGUUGCUCGGAAUUACUGGGCGUAAAGGGAGCGUAGGCGGACAUUUAAGUCAGAGGUGAAAUCCCGGAGCUUAACUUCGGAACUGCCUUUGAUACUGGGUGUCUUGAGUGUGAGAGAGGUAUGUGGAACUCCGAGUGUAGAGGUGAAAUUCGUAGAUAUUCGGAAGAACACCAGUGGCGAAGGCGACAUACUGGCUCAUUACUGACGCUGAGGCUCGAAAGCGUGGGGAGCAAACAGGAUUAGAUACCCUGGUAGUCCACGCCGUAAACGAUGAUUGCUAGUUGUCGGGAAGCUUGCUUCUCGGUGACGCAGCUAACGCAUUAAGCAACCCGCCUGGGGAGUACGGUCGCAAAGAUUAAAACCUUAAAUGAAAUUGACGG